UGGGGAAUAUUGGACAAUGGGCGAAAGCCUGAUCCAGCCAUGCCGCGUGUGUGAAGAAGGUCUUCGGAUUGUAAAGCACUUUAAGUUGGGAGGAAGGGCAGUAAGCGAAUACCUUGCUGCUUUGACGUUACCGACAGAAUAAGCACCGGCUAACUCUGUGCCAGCAGCCGCGGUAAUACAGAGGGUGCAAGCGUUAAUCGGAAUUACUGGGCGUAAAGCGCGCGUAGGUGGUUCGUUAAGUUGAAUGUGAAAGCCCCGGGCUCAACCUAGGAACUGCAUCCAAAACUGGCGAGCUAGAGUAGGGCAGAGGGUGGUGGAAUUUCCUGUGUAGCGGUGAAAUGCGUAGAUAUAGGAAGGAACACCAGUGGCGAAGGCGACCACCUGGGCUCAUACUGACACUGAGGUGCGAAAGCGUGGGGAGCAAACAGG
rnacentral:rRNA from 1 species